GUUUCUGUAGUUGAAUAACAACAGUGGUUUUUCAAGUCACAGGUUCUGGUUAAAAUCCAGGCAGAAAUU
rnacentral:tRNA from 1 species